GUGGAAUUUUCAAGCUGUUAGCGUUGUAUAAUGUGAUAUAACAAAGCCAGGAAAACUUUGCCGGUGGACGGUUCGUUAUAAACGUAAGUCAAAACUACAAUUGUCUCGAACAUUUUUAUGUAUAUUAUUAAUACGUAACAUGAUGGUUUCUUGUGAAAUUUGGAUAAAACAAGCACUCGUGAGUUUUUCAAAGACCUCAAAUAGCACUCGUCCUUCGGACCCGUGCUAUUUUCAUGCUCUUUGAAAUACUUACUCGUGCAUGUUUUUAUCCAAAUUGCACUCGAAACUACCCUAUUAUCUAUCAUCCUAUCAACAAAAAUAACUGUACCUACA